rnacentral:rRNA from 1 species
UACGUAGGGUCCGAGCGUUGUCCGGAAUUAUUGGGCGUAAAGGGCUCGUAGGCGGUUUGUCGCGUCGGGAGUGAAAACUCAGGGCUCAACCCUGAGCGUGCUUCCGAUACGGGCAGACUAGAGGUAUGCAGGGGAGAACGGAAUUCCUGGUGUAGCGGUGGAAUGCGCAGAUAUCAGGAGGAACACCGGUGGCGAAGGCGGUUCUCUGGGCAUGACCUGACGCUGAGACGCGAAAGCGUGGGGAGCAAACAGG